AUCUUUUUGUUUUUCUUGUCUAGUAUAUGUUCUUAUCAGUUUAAUAUCUGAUACACCUCUAUCGGAGAGAUGUAUGUAUGUAUAAUGCAUUUAUUGAAUGGAUUUUGGACAGGUGAUGGAAGAAGUUACUCUGUCCAUUCUACGCAUUAACCUGGUAAAACACUUCCACCGGUGGAACUAUGGGGGUCAU